rnacentral:rRNA from 1 species
UAUUGGACAAUGGGCGAAAGCCUGAUCCAGCCAUGCCGCGUGUGUGAAGAAGGUCNUCNNAUUGUNANGCACUUUAAGUUGGGNNNNNGGGCAGUAAGUUAAUACCUUGCUGUUUUGACGUUACCGACAGAAUAGGCACCGGCUAACUUUGUGCCAGCAGCCGCGGUAAUACGAAGGGUGCAAGCGUUAAUCGGAAUUACUGGGCGUAAAGCGCGCGUAGGUGGGUUGUUAAGUUGGAAGUGAAAGCCCCGGGCUUAACCUGGGAAUUGCUUUCAAAACUGACGAGCUAGAGUACGGUAGAGGGUAGUGGAAUUUCCUGUGUAGCGGUGAAAUGCGUAGAUAUAGGAAGGAACAUCAGUGGCGAAGGCGACUACCUGGACUGAUACUGACACUGAGGUGCGAAAGCGUGGGGAGCAAACAGG